AACGUAGGAGACAAACGUUAUCCGGAGUUACUGGGCGUAAAGGGCGUGUAGGUGGUCAUGUAAGUCUGGCGUGAAAUUUUUCGGCUUAACCGGGAAAGGUCGUCGGAUACUGUAUGACUAGAGGACGGUAGAGGCGUGUGGAAUUCCGGGUGUAGUGGUGAAAUGCGUAGAGAGGCGGAGGAACACCAGUGGCGAAGGCGGCACGCUGGGCCGUUCCUGACACUGAGGCGCGAUAGCGUGGGGAGCAAACAGG
rnacentral:rRNA from 1 species